GUAAGAUUUCAUGAAGAGUUCACUGUGCAGCUUUUUUAGAAUCUUGGGAAAUGAGCUGAAAAUCCAGCCUCUGGUAAGCAAUGAGUGCUCUGUUUAACAUGAGAAUUUGGAUAAGCUGUCAGGGCCAGAGUACUGCUGAGUUACUGAUGCUAAUCAGUCCUGCUCUGCAUUUCUUCUAGAAGAUAGUAGAACACAAGUUCAGCAGAACUUGGUGAGGAUGUUCUGAUACUCUCUGUUUUCUGUUCAAAAGACAGGAACUUUUGGACGACAGCUUUUUUUCCAAGAACAGCACAGGCUGCAUUGCAUCCACACCCUAAAAAAGCUGUGGCAGUUUGACCUUCAGUCUGAUCUGAUGCACCUGUUCCCAUGCAAGUCUCUUCAGAGCAAAUUGCAGCUCUGGCACCUGCAGCACUUCACAAGGGAUCUAUGGGCAUGAAGGAAAAAGAAAAGGUAGUGUGACAUUCUAGAGAUGUGUGGAACAGAUUUGACUUAAGACAUAGGUUGAUUAUUCCUUCCACGUCAAAGUUAGCUUUCAGCAGAUCCAGACUUUUGUUGGCUCACAAGCAAGCAAAAUGGCAAGAGUGUACGCUUCAAGCAAUAUCAGCAUGUUUUGCCUUUCUUGGAAAACACUAGAUCACCAAGCAGCUUCCAUGGGAUAUGUAAGUGAUAAGUUGCCAGCUGCCUGGGAAGCACUGCUGCAGAACAGGAAACAUCACAAGGCAGUUUCUGACGUGGAAGAAGACAAUUCCAAUCCAGAGUCAUCAGCACUACAUAAGACCGCUGAGACCACAGGUUUUUAUCAGACUGACUAACAUUAUCAUACUUAUUUUGCUGCAAAUCCACCCUACCCGUCCAUUAUCCCUUGGGAAAAGAGAACUGUCUUUGUUCUACAGCUGUACAGUGGUUCAGUGCAAUGAGAUCCCGAUCUACGUAAAGGUCUCCCAGGAACGUAGCAACACAGAUGAAUAAAAGCAGUGUUAGCACCUGCUUAUAACUGAAU
rnacentral:lncRNA from 1 species